rnacentral:lncRNA from 1 species
GCAUUAGUACAAAACUUUACAGUACUGGGACAAAACCUGCACUUUUGCAGUCAAUUGUGGCCACAUUAGGGCCAUAAUCAGCUCCGGCAGUUACUGAAAACAGUAAAAUAAAAUUUUGCACCCUUUGCUGUACUGAUGUGUUUACCAGGUCGUGUUAUUUCCUCUGCAUGAAUCCAGAUAUUAAGGUGCUGUUAUGUGGUUAUAAAGGAGGAAAAGUACAAGAAUAAGACCUGCCUCUUUCCCCUCUCUCCCACUCUUGCCCCGUCACUCCCCCUCUGAUCAUUACUGAGCUCCUUUUAGACAGGGAUGGAAAGCCAAAUUUAGUUCUCAGUUACACUGGUGUGUAUCUGCAUAAAGCCACAGCCAUCAUGGGAGAAAUUCCACUUUUAUAUUGCUAUAGGAGACAGCAAGUUUUGGCAAUGACCUUUAUAUAGCAAUGUCCUGGAGUGUAAACAGCUUGAUUUUAUGCAAACAAAUUACAAAAUUGUGUAUAGUGUAAGAAAAUCCCUGCUUUUAAGCUGUCUUGCCCAGGAAAAUGAAUUAAGACAUCCAGCUUGGGCAAUGGAAGAGGAGCCCAGAAAACAAUUUGUUUAUUAUAAGCAGGUCAGUCCUCCGGGGAAUUCAUGGAAUCAUGCAGUGGGAGAGGACAAUCACGGCACUGAAAUGGUGGGUAAUUUUAUUUGUUCCACUUGAUGGUCACAGUGGCAUCAUGCUGGCCAAUUACUCUUGAGUCAGCAGGUUUCAGAGGUUAAGACCCCCUUGUGGGUUGCAGCACUGCAGGCAAAGCAUUCAGGCCAGAUUGAAACCGUUUCAACAGCAGAGACGCCAGCCUUCUUCUCCCUUGGAGAUCUCCUUUUUCAACUGUGUACGAGACACACAUGUGAUAAAAUAGGCAUGUCUCUAACAUCGAGACGGCUU